AGAAUAGUAAAGCGCACAGGUGUGUCAUCUCCCUCGGGGGAAGACAGAAAAGGGAAGUCGGGUGAAAAUCCCGCACAGGGCCGCUGCUGUAAUUGCGGAGUCCCGCCAAACGUGUCACUGGUUACUUUACCGGGAAGGCUGGCGUGGAUGAAGAUGCAUAAGUCAGAAGACCUGCCUGUUGCGUGCACGAUUA
rnacentral:ncRNA from 2 species